rnacentral:rRNA from 1 species
AUUGAACGCUGGCGGCAGGCUUAACACAUGCAAGUCGAGCGGAGAUGAGGUGCUUGCACCUUAUCUUAGCGGCGGACGGGUGAGUAAUGCUUAGGAAUCUGCCUAUUAGUGGGGGACAACAUUCCGAAAGGAAUGCUAAUACCGCAUACGUCCUACGGGAGAAAGCAGGGGAUCUUCGGACCUUGCGCUAAUAGACGAGCCUAAGUCGGAUUAGCUAGUUGGUGGGGUAAAGGCCUACCAAGGCGACGAUCUGUAGCGGGUCUGAGAGGAUGAUCCGCCACACUGGGACUGAGACACGGCCCAGACUCCUACGGGAGGCAGCAGUGGGGAAUAUUGGACAAUGGGGGGAACCCUGAUCCAGCCAUGCCGCGUGUGUGAAGAAGGCCUUAUGGUUGUAAAGCACUUUAAGCGAGGAGGAGGCUACUGAGACUAAUACUCUUGGAUAGUGGACGUUACUCGCAGAAUAAGCACCGGCUAACUCUGUGCCAGCCGCCGCGGUAAUAC